rnacentral:rRNA from 1 species
AACGAACGCUGGCGGCAGGCCUAACACAUGCAAGUCGAACGGGAUCUUCGGAUCUAGUGGCGGACGGGUGAGUAACGCGUGGGAACGUGCCCUUUGGUUCGGAAUAGCCCUGGGAAACUGGGAGUAAUACCGGAUGAGCCCUUCGGGGGAAAGAUUUAUCGCCAAAGGAUCGGCCCGCGUUGGAUUAGGUAGUUGGUGGGGUAAUGGCCUACCAAGCCGACGAUCCAUAGCUGGUUUGAGAGGAUGAUCAGCCACACUUGGACUGAGACACGGCCCAGACUCCUACGAGAGGCAGCAGUGGGGAAUCUUGGAAGAUGGGGGGAACCCUGAUCUAGCCAUGCCGCGUGAGCGAUGAAGGCCUUAGGGUUGUAAAGCUCUUUCGUGGGGGAAGAUAAUGACUGUACCCCAAGAAGAAGCCCCGGCUAACUCCGUGCCAGCCGCCGCCGUAAAAC